UGAAGUGUAAAGGAAAAGCCCUUUAUCCAUAUUUGCACCUUCAAAUUCAAUUACAGUCAAAAUCAAAUAACAAGUAAUUCUAAAGAUAUCUAUCUAUACAAAUAUCUAAAUGGAAAUCUAGAUGAUAAAAUCAAAUAAUGAAACCUAAUCUUCCCAUACCUCUGCCUUCCUUGUAAAAGCCGAAUCUGCAUCCGCCAUAGACUCAAUUCGCCGCAACUUAAAACGCAUUUUUCAAUGAAGAAAAGGGAGAAGGAUAAUCGAAAAGGCAGAUUACGAGUUUGUGCGUGAAUCUGAAAUAUGCCUCUUCCUCUUGAGUCUUUGCCUCAUUUCGAAGGCUGACGAUGGCCAAUGGACACAGAGAGAGACAGGGGACGAUGACGACCAGGUACUUUAGAUUGUUUGCGAUUAGGUAAAGAUUAGAUUCGGCGUACGCGUGUGCCCUAAUUCACUUUCACUUCGGUUUUG
rnacentral:misc_RNA from 1 species